rnacentral:rRNA from 1 species
AUUGAACGCUGGCGGCAGGCCUAACACAUGCAAGUCGAACGAGUGGCGGACGGGUGAGUAAUGUCUGGGAAAAUGCCCGAUGGAGGGGGAUAAAUACUGGAAACGGUCGCUAAUACCGCAUACCAUCAGAUGUGCCCAGAUGGGUUUAUCUUGUUGGUGGGGUAACGGCUCACCAAGGCGACGAUCCCUAGCUGGUCUGAGAGGAUGACCAGCCACACUGGAACUGAGACACGGUCCAGACUCCUACGUGAGGCAGCAGUGGGGAAUAUUGGACAAUGGGCGCAAGCUGGAUGCAGCAAUGCCGCUUGGAUGUAGAAGGCCUUCGGGUUUUAAAGUACUUUCAGCGGGGCGGCGUUACCCGCAGAAGAAGCACCGGCUAACUCCGUGCCAGCAGCCGCGGUAAUUC